UCUCCGUUGGUGAACCAGCGGAGGGAUCAUUACCGAGUUUUCAACUCCCUAACCCUUCUGUGAACCUACCUAUCGUUGCUUCGGCGGACUCGCCCCAGCCCGGACGCGGACUGGACCAGCGGCCCGCCGGGGGCCUCAAACUCUCGUAUUCCAGCAUCUUCUGAAUACGCCGCAAGGCAAAACAAAUGAAUUAAAACUUUCAACAACGGAUCUCUUGGCUCUG
rnacentral:misc_RNA from 1 species